UACGUAGGCAGCGAGCGUUGUUCGGAAUUACUGGGCGUAAAGAGUGUGUAGGCGGUGCUCUAAGUUCGGUGUGAAAUCUCUCGGCUUAACUGGGAGGGUGCGCCGGAAACUGGAGUGCUCGAACGUGGGAGAGGAAAGCGGAAUUCCUGGUGUAGCGGUGAAAUGCGUAGAUAUCGGGAGGAACACCAGUGGCGAAGGCGACUUUCUGGACUAAUACUGACACUGAGGCACGAAAGCGUGGGGAGCAAACAGG
rnacentral:rRNA from 1 species